rnacentral:lncRNA from 1 species
UCUUUUUUUUAUUUUUGAAAAGUUAAAUGUCUGUUUUGGUAUUCUGGUAAAACUGUCAUGUGUUCAGUGUUUGGGACAGGUAUAGCUGUGUAGAGUGUUCAGUGUUUGGGACAGGUAUAGCUGUGUAGAGUGUUCAGUGUUUGGGACAGGUAUAGCUGUGUAGAGUGUUUCAGUGUUGGGACCGUAUAGCUGUGUAGAGUGUUCAGUGUUGGGACAGUUAUAGCUGUGUAGAGGUUCAGUGUUUGGGACAGUUAUAGCUGUGUAGCUAGGGUUCAGUGUUUGGCGACAGUAUAGCUGUGUAGAGUGUUCAGUGUUUGGGACAGGUAUAGCUUGUGUAGAGUGUUCAGUGUUUGGGACAGGUAUAGCUGUGUAGAGUGUUCAGUGUUUGGGACAGGUUAUAGCUGUGUAGAGUUUCAGUGUUGGGGACGGGUAUAGCUUGCUGAGCUGUAGAGUGUUCAGUGUUUGGGGACAGUAUACAUGUUGUAGAGUGUUCAGUGUUUGGGACAGGUUA